AAACCCAUUUCGGCCGAAAUACAGCUGGAUGUUCAUUUUAAAAUUGUGGUCCCAUUUAGAGGAUAGUAGAUGAUAAAGCAGGGUAUGCUUUAGGGCAUGUCGCUACCACAGCAACUUGUCAGGCGUACCAAUGUGUAUCCCUUCCCAUCUCCAGUGUCUCAUCCACAUAUCUGCCAAAGCCAAGGCUUAGUCCACUUCUGGACGUAAAGAUAGUAACAUUGACGAUGAGCUAAAGAGCUUGGUGAGUUAUUUCUGCCUUAUGAGCCGCUUCCUGUUUAACUAGAUGUUGCCUAGCAAUGUAGACGACAGAAACAUAACAAUGUUUUAUGUAUUUAGGAUGUUUAAAACAGAAAAGUUGGAUCAAUAUUUUUGUGGUAGCUAUGUGUAAAUUAACAACUGGUAUUUUUAAUGUGAUUACAUGAGGCACUUUGUUGUCAAGUGGCCUUUGUGCGUACGGGAUAAUACCCAACAAGUUUUAGAUCCCAUGAUAGUAAUGGAUGAGACAGAGGCUAAGAAAACAAGACAUUUUAGACUCAAUAAUGAACAAAAUAGAUCAAUAAGAUGUAUAAUUUUGGACGGUAUAGACAUACUGAAGACCAUAGGGGUUCAUCUGUGUCAAUGAAUUCACUAACAAUAACUUUUAAUGACAUGUUUUUACAUAAGCCUACAGAUUAUACAGUAGAGCUGUGUGUGUUGUGUUUGGAGGAGGGACUACAUCAUUUAAAGAAGUUAGAAGUUCCUGGUUUGUCAGUGAAGAAAGUCAGAGAGUCAGCAGUAAACCACCAGAGUCUCAACAUGAAAGUCCGUCACACUUCUGCUUCUUCUUCCUCUCACUGCUGGAUGGAAGUCCUCCUGAAGAAACAUCCCUCUAUACAAGAGCUGGAGGAAAUAUUGUAGUUGGAUCCUCCUUUAUUUUCUUUGGAAGCAGGGAAGUACUUCUGCAAGGAAGAAUGUAAAGAGAAAGACAUUCUUGUUGAAACAACUGGUUACACAGCUGAGAGAGGCAGAUACAGCAUCAGAUAUACAGAACGAUCUCUGACAGAUGUAUCUGUGUAUGUGAGCAUCACACAGCUGACAGAGUCUGACUCAGGACGGUACAGGUGUGGUCUGGACAGACGUUUAUCACCAGAUUCCUACUGGGAGUUUGAGAUCAUUGUCACAGAUGGUGAGUUUACAUUUAAAAUAAAAUGAAAAUAACUGAGAAUGAAAAUGUUUGUUCAUGUCUCUCCAGGUCUGAAGAAAGUUUUCACUAACAGCUGCUGAUGUAAAUCCCCAGUGAACACGGAUGAAUACCCAUCAGCCUCCAAACCAACACAGAUUUCUCAGACUGACCAGCAGCAGACUGGGACAGCAUCACCUCGAGGUACAUCCACACUGUUUGAUAGAUUAAAGUCAAUGACUGAAAGUCAUAACAAGUAAUUGUCCUUUCAGCACCUAGCAAAGCC